rnacentral:rRNA from 1 species
AGCGAACGCUGGCGGCAGGCCUAACACAUGCAAGUCGAACGGAUCCUUCGGGAUUAGUGGCGGACGGGUGAGUAACACGUGGGAACGUGCCCUUUGGUUCGGAACAACUCAGGGAAACUUGAGCUAAUACCGGAUGUGCCCUUCGGGGGAAAGAUUUAUCGCCAUUGGAGCGGCCGGCGUCUGUUUAGCUAGUUGGUGAGGUAAAGGCUAACCAAGGCGACGAUCAGUAGCUGGUCUGAGAGGAUGAUCAGCCACAUUGGGACUGAGACACGGCCCAAACUCCUACGGGAGGCAGCAGUGGGGAAUCUUGCGCAAUGGGCGAAAGCCUGACGCAGCCAUGCCGCGUGAAUGAUGAAGGUCUUAGGAUUGUAAAAUUCUUUCACCGGGGACGAUAAUGACGGUACCCGGAGAAGAAGCCCCGGCUAACUUCGUGCCAGCAGCCGCCGUAA